rnacentral:misc_RNA from 1 species
GAUGAAGAACGUAGCGAAAUGCGAUACUUGGUGUGAAUUGCAGAAUCCCGUGAACCAUCGAGUCCUUGAACGCAAGUUGCGCCCGAAGCCAUUAGGCCGAGGGCACGCCUGCCUGGGCGUCACACGUCGUUGCCCCCCCAUCUACUCCUUCGGGAUUGCGGGGGGCGGAUGAUGGCCUCCCGUGCGCCUCGUCGCGCGGUUGGCAUAAAUGCCAAGUCCUCGGCGACGCACGCCACGACAAUCGGUGGUUGCGAAACCUCGGUUGCCCGUCGUGUGCGGUCGUCGCGCAUCGAGGGCUCGAAAAAUUUGUCGGGCUCCGGCUCGGCUUUCAACGCGACCCCAGGUCAGGCGGGGUUACCCGCUGAAUUUAAGCAUAUCAAUAAGCGGAGGA